ACUGAUAUUUUGAUGAAUGUGUUGUACCUGUUAUUUAUAAUAAUUUGCUGUGUAUUUUAAGAAUAAAAAGAAUUUUUAAAUGUGAAGUAAUUUACAGACUUGGUAUAUGUAACAAAAAAUAAAUAAAAACACCGCAGGCUCACACAUUUUAACAGAUUAUUUUCGAUUUUUAAUUAUUUUAAACACCUAUCUGUCUAUCUAGAAUUCAGAAAACGGAAGUUAAGCUUGAUCAGCGAUCUCACAGCGCCGACAACUGUUGACAGCCGUGGCUGCCCGAUCUGCGCCCCCUGCUCAGUGUGCAGUGCGCAUGCGCGGCACAAAUCGGGCAGGGGGUACAGAUCGGGGAGUGACACGGGACACACAGGAUGAGCAAUCGAUUCAGUCUUCAAUCGAGCCAACAACCAGCCAAUCACAUCACGCUCCGAAGAUCACGUGACAGGUAGCGCCUCACGGCUCAGAGCCGCUCAACGCGAGUCACAGCCCCCUCCGCUGCUGCUCUCGAGUAGGUUGAAAAGAAGAUGGAGAAGUUUCAGCUUGCAGCUAUGAAGAGUUCACCACGAAAAGAAGGAAGUCAAAGAAUACAAAGAUCUGUCCAUAUUCUGAAGUCACCACUUGAAGAUUUUAUGCAGAAUUAUUUGGAUUAUGAAUAGGAACCACAUUAUUUGCAACAGCUUUUAUUAUUUAUACAAACAAGAUGAACAUGAUAUGAUGUGCCAGAAUAUAGGGAGGCUGCCUAAAACAUACAAAAAAAAAUACAGAACACAUGUAAACAACUAAAGAAAAACAGAACAUGGCACAUGUAAAUAAAUCAAAUAAACACAGCACAGACUGCAUGAAA